ACUCAAAUGAAUUGACGGGGACUUGCACAAGCAGUGGAUUAUGUGGUUUAAUUCGACGACAAACGAAGAACCUUACCAAGGUUAGAAAUCUAGUUGAAGACAUUGGGAAACCUUUGUCGCCGCAAGGCAAUUAGACAGGUGAUGCAUGGCCGUCGUCAGUUCGUGGUUUGAAUUGUUCCCUUAAGUGGGGUAACGAACGCAACCCUCGUUGGCUGUUAUAAGUGUCAGCCGAGACUGCCCUAGAUUUUGCGCACGAGAUAUCGCGCGUAGGAUCUAGGGAGGAAGGCGAGGAUGACGCCAGGUCAGCAUGUCCCUUUGAUAUCUUGGGCUACACACAUAAUACAAUCGCCGUUACAACGCGACGCAAAACCGCAAGGUAGAGCAAAUCGUUAGAAAAGCGGCGCCAGUUCGGAUUGGGGUCUGCAACUCGACCUCAUGAAGCCGGAAUUGCUAGUAAUCGCGGGUCAGCUAUACCGCGGUGAAUACGUUCUCAAGUCUUGUACACACCGCCCGU
rnacentral:rRNA from 1 species